rnacentral:rRNA from 1 species
UACAGAGGUCUCAAGCGUUGUUCGGAUUCAUUGGGCGUAAAGGGUGCGUAGGCGGCGCGGUAAGUCGGGUGUGAAAUCUCCGGGCUUAACUCGGAAAGGUCAACUGAUACUGUGCGGCUAGAGGUGCAAGAAGGGGGCAACGUGGGAAUUCUCGGGUGUAGCGGUGGAAAUGCGUAGAUAUCGAGAGGAACACCUGCGGCGAAGGCGGGUUGCUGGGCUGAACACGUGACGUGGAUGCGCGAAAGCCCAGGGGAGCGAACGGGAUAGAA